GAGCGGUAACAGACAUUUUGAUUCAGCUUGCUGAAUCUAGUGCUGACGAGCGGCGAACGGGUGAGUAACGCGUAGGAAUCUGCCUAGUAGUGGGGGAUAGCCCGAGGAAACUCGGAUUAAUACCGCAUACGCCCUAAGGGGGAAAGAAGGCCUCUCCUUGGAAGCUUUCACUAUUAGAUGAGCCUGCGUAAGAUUAGCUUGUUGGUAGGGUAAUGGCCUACCAAGGCUACGAUCUUUAGCUGGUCUGAGAGGACGAUCAGCCACAUUGGGACUGAGACACGGCCCAGACGUCUACGGGAGGCAGCAGUAGGGAAUUUUGGACAAUGGGGGAAACCCUGAUCCAGCCAUACCGCGUGUGUGAAGAAGGCUCUAGGGUUGUAAAGCACUUUAAGCAGAGAAGAAAGAGAGUAAGUUAAUACCUUACUCUUGUGACGUUAUCUGAAGAAUAAGCACCGGCUAACUCCGUGCCAGCAGCCGCGGUAAUACGGAGGGUGCAAGCGUUAAUCGGAAUUACUGGGCGUAAAGCGCGCGUAGGUGGCUUAGUAAGUUGGUUGUGAAAGCCCUAGGCUCAACCUAGGAACUGCAUUCAAAACUACUAAGCUAGAGUACGAGAGAGGAGAGUAGAAUUUCUGGUGUAGCGGUGAAAUGCGUAGAUAUCAGAAGGAAUACCAAUGGCGAAGGCAGCUCUCUGGAUCGUUACUGACACUGAAGUGCGAAAGCGUGGGUAGCAAACAGGAUUAGAUACCCUGGUAGUCCACGCCGUAAACGAUGAGAACUAGCCGUCGGGUGGAAUUAACUAUUCGGUGGCGCAGCUAACGCAUUAAGUUCUCCGCCUGGGGACUACGGCCGCAAGGCUAAA
rnacentral:rRNA from 1 species